rnacentral:rRNA from 1 species
GACGAACGCUGGCGGCGUGCUUAACACAUGCAAGUCGAACGGAAAGGCCCUGCUUUUGUGGGGUUCUCGAGUGGCGAACGGGUGAGUAACACGUGAGUAACCUGCCCUUGACUUUGGGAUAACUUCAGGAAACUGGGGCUAAUACCGGAUAGGAGCUCCUGCUGCAUGGUGGGGGUUGGAAAUUUUCGGCGGUUGGGGAUGGACUCGCGGCUUAUCAGCUUGUUGGUGGGGGAGUGGCUUACCAAGGCUUUGACGGGUAGCCGGCCUGAGAGGGUGACCGGGCACAUUGGGACUGAGAUACGGACCAGACUCCUACGGGAGGCAGCAGUGGGGAAUAUUGCACAAUGGGAGGAAGCCUGAUGCAGCAACGCCGCGUGCGGGAUGACGGCCUUCGGGUUGUAAACAGCUUUCGCCUGUGACGACGCGUGAGUGACGGUAAUGGGUAAAGAAGCACCGGCUAACUACGUG